CCUGCCAGUAGUCAUAUGCUUGUCUAAAAGAUUAAGCCAUGCAUGUGUAAGUUUAAGUGCUUUACAGCGAAACUGCGGACGGCUCAUUAAAUCAGUUAUAGUUUAUUUGAUAAUAGAAGUUACAUGGAUAACUGCAGUAAUUCUGGAGCUAAUACAUGAACGUAGCCUUCGGGCGUCUUUGUGAGGAGAGCACAUACUCUGUUGACUCAUUACAACCUAACGGAUCGCAUGGCCUUGAGCCGGCGACGAUUCAUUCAAAUUUCUGCCCUAUCAAGUUUCGAUGGUAGUGUAGUGGACUACCAUGCUUGCAACGGGUGACGGGGAAUUAGGGUUCGAUUCCGGAGAAGGAGCCUUAAAAACGGCUACUACUUCCAAGGAAGGCAGCAGGCGCGCAAAUUACCCAAUAGUAACACACUGAGGUAGUGACAAUAAAUAACAAUACUGGUCCUUUCAAAGGACUAGUAAUUGGAAUGAGUACAAUUUAAAUCUGUUAACGAGGAACCAUUGGAGGACAAGUCAGGUGCCAGCACCCGCGGUAAUUCCUGCUCCAAUAGCAUAUACUAAAGUUGUUGCAGUUAAAAAGCUCGUAGUUGGAUCGAAGGUCGAGAUUGGGAUGGUCUGCCGGGUUGGUGUGUACUGCCCUCUCUCACCGUAAUUUGCCUUGUUGUACGCUGGUGACCUUAACUGGUCGCUUGCUAUGACUAGGUCGUGUACUUUGAAAAAAUUAGAGUGUUCAAAACAGGCAUUUGCUUGAAUAGAUUAGCAUGGGAUACUAAAAUACGACACGAAGCACUCGUGCUGGUGUUAGUGUAAUGACCAAUAGGAAUUAUUGGGGAUGUUCAUAUUUACUAGUCAGAGGUGAAAUUCUUGGAUUUAGGAAAGAUGUACUUAUGCGAAAGCAUUCAUCAAGGAUGUUUUCAUUGAUCAAGAACGAAAGUUAGGGGAUCGAAGACGAUCAGAUACCGUCGUAGUCUUAACUAUAAACGAUACCGACUGAUAAUUGAAGGAUGUUUUCAAGGUGACGCCUCCAGCGAUCUAGAGAAAUUAAAGUCUUUGGGUUCUGGGGGGAGUAUGGUCGCAAGGCUGAAACUUAAAGGAAUUGACGGAAAGGCACACCAGGAGUGGAGCCUGCGGCUUAAUUUGACUCAACACGGGAAAACUCACUAGGUCCAGACAUUUGUAUGAUUGACAGAUUAAUAGCUCUUUCUUGAUUAGAUGGGUGGUGGUGCAUGGCCGUUCUUAGUUGGUGGAGUGAUUUGUCUGGUUAAUUCCGAUAACGAACGAGACUAGAUUAGAAGGACUAUCGACGGUAAGUCGAUGGAGGUUUCUAGCAAUAACAGGUCUGUGAUGCCCUUAGAUGUCCUAGGCUGCACGCGCGCUACACUGUAAGAAGAUAGAAAGUUACUUUCAUAAGUUCCUUACUCGAUAGAGUUGGGUAAUCUGCAUAUUCUUACGUGCUGGGGAUUGAUAAUUGUAAUUAUUUGUCAUCAACGAGGAAUUCCUAGUAAUCGCAGUUCACGAGACUGCGCUGAUUACGUCCCUGCCUUUUGUACACACCGCCCGUCGCUCCUACCGAUUGAAUGAUCCGGUGAGGAGCAAAGAUUUUUUUCUGAGGUGGGAAACCAACAAAGUGAAAGAGAAUUGCUUCAAACCUUAUUAUUUAGAGGAAGGAGAAGUCGUAACAAGGUCU
rnacentral:rRNA from 1 species